rnacentral:rRNA from 1 species
AGCGAACGCUGGCGGCAGGCUUAACACAUGCAAGUCGAACGGGCACUUCGGUGUCAGUGGCAGACGGGUGAGUAACACGUGGGAACGUACCUCUUGGUUCGGAACAACACAGGGAAACUUGUGCUAAUACCGGAUAAGCCCUUACGGGGAAAGAUUUAUCGCCGAGAGAUCGGCCCGCGUCUGAUUAGCUAGUUGGUAGGGUAACGGCCUACCGAGGCGACGAUCAGUAGCUGGUCUGAGAGGAUGAUCAGCCACAUUGGGACUGAGACACGGCCCAAACUCCUACGGGAGGCAGCAGUGGGGAAUAUUGGACAAUGGGGGCAACCCUGAUCCAGCCAUGCCGCGUGAGUGAUGAAGGCCCUAGGGUUGUAAAGCUCUUUUGUGCGGGAAGAUAAUGACGGUACCGCAAGAAUAAGCCCCGGCUAACUUCGAGCCAGCAGCCGCCGUAA